AUACUUACCUGGUACCGGGGCCUUGUUGAUCACUGAAAACGAGCCCCCAGGGCAAGGCGCGGUCAUUGCACGGCGCUCGCGUUCACCCCUGCCGCUAUCCCAAGCUGGGGCAGAUGAAGCUCGCAAAUUGC
rnacentral:snRNA from 1 species